rnacentral:rRNA from 1 species
UNUGCUGUGAAAGGCUGGGGCUUAACCCUGGUUUUGCAGUGGGUACGGGCUAACUAGAGUGCAGUAGGGGAGACUGGAAUUCCUGGUGUAGCGGUGGAAUGCGCAGAUAUCAGGAGGAACACCGAUGGCGAAGNCAGGUCUCUGGGCUGUAACUGACGCUGAGAAGCGAAAGCAUGGGGAGCGAACAGGAUUAGAUACCCUGGUAGUCCAUGCCGUAAACGUUGGGCACUAGGUGUGGGGGACAUUCCACGUUUUCCGCGCCGUAGCUAACGCAUUAAGUGCCCCGCCUGGGGAGUACGGCCGCAAGGCUAAAACUCAAAGAAAUUGACGGGGGCCCGCACAAGCGGCGGAGCAUGCGGAUUAAUUCGAUGCAACGCGAAGAACCUUACCAAGGCUUGACAUAUACUGGACUGCGUCAGAGAUGGCGUUUCCCUUCGGGGCUGGUAUACAGGUGGUGCAUGGUUGUCGUCAGCUCGUGUCGUGAGAUGUUGGGUUAAGUCCCGCAACGAGCGCAACCCUCGUUCUAUGUUGCCAGCACGUGAUGGUGGGGACUCAUAGGAGACUGUCGGGGUCAACUCGGAGGAAGGUGGGGAUGACGUCAAAUCAUCAUGCCCCUUAUGUCUUGGGCUUCACGCAUGCUACAAUGGCCGGUACAGAGGGUUGCGAUACUGUGAGGUGGAGCUAAUCCCUAAAAGCCGGUCUCAGUUCGGAUUGGGGUCUGCAACUCGACCCCAUGAAGUCGGAGUCGCUAGUAAUCGCAGAUCAGCAACGCUGCGGUGAAUACGUUCCCGGGCCUUGUACA